GCCAGAGUGGUAUAGUGGUUUGAACAUUGGACUAUGACUCUGGAGGUCAAGUUCGAUUCUCCACUCGGCCA